CUGUAGCCAGUUGAGCUGACCCAAAUACCUUUCCUGGAGGGACCAUGGAGUGUGAGGAUUGCAGAUAGCCACCUACUUGGGGUGUAGGCAGCCGGUGUACUGGGCUGCCCUGGGGCCUUUCAAGGCAGUU